CCUACGGGAGGCAGCAGUGGGGAAUAUUGCACAAUGGGGGAAACCCUGAUGCAGCGACGCCGCGUGAGUGAAGAAGUAUUUCGUUACGUAAAGCUCUAUCAGCAGGGAAGAAAAUGACGGUACCUGACUAAGAAGCCCCGGCUAACUACGUGCCAGCAGCCGCGGUAAUACGUAGGGGGCAAGCGUUAUCCGGAUUUACUGGGUGUAAAGGGAGCGUAGACGGCAGUGCAAGUCUGGAGUGAAAUGCCAGGGCUCAACCAUGGGACUGCUUUGGAAACUGUGCGGCUGGAGUGCAGGAGAGGUAAGCGGAAUUCCUAGUGUAGCGGUGAAAUGCGUAGAUAUUAGGAGGAACACCAGUGGCGAAGGCGGCUUACUGGACUGUAACUGACGUUGAGGCUCGAAAGCGUGGGGAGCAAACAGGAUUAGAUACCCCGGUAGUC
rnacentral:rRNA from 1 species